rnacentral:snoRNA from 1 species
UGUCCGUGAUGAGAAACCUUUUCAUUCAGUUCUGCUACUGAUUAGCACUGAUGACACCUAAUAUACCAUACCAAGAUCUCUGAUAC